AUUGAACGCUGGCGGCAUGCCUUACACAUGCAAGUCGAACGGUAACAGGUCUUCGGAUGCUGACGAGUGGCGAACGGGUGAGUAAUGUAUCGGAACGUAUCCUGUAAUGGGGGAUAACCAGUCGAAAGAUUGGGUAAUACCGCAUACGCACGAGAGUGGAAAGUAGGGGAUCGCAAGACCUUACGUUAUAGGAGCGGCCGAUAUCUGAUUAGCUAGUUGGUGGGGUAAAGGCCUACCAAGGCGACGAUCAGUAGCUGGUCUGAGAGGACGACCAGCCACACUGGGACUGAGACACGGCCCAGACUCCUACGGGAGGCAGCAGUGGGGAAUUUUGGACAAUGGGCGAAAGCCUGAUCCAGCCAUGCCGCGUGCAGGAAGAAGGCCUUCGGGUUGUAAACUGCUUUAGUCUAGGAAAAAGGGGUGCGAGGUUAAUACCCUCGUGCUUUGAUGGUACUGGAAGAAUAAGCACCGGCUAACUACGUG
rnacentral:rRNA from 1 species